ACAGAAUUGCACAUUGGAACACAUUGUUUAUAUAUACAAAAUAUAUGAUAUAUAUAAACAAUGUGUUCCGAUGUGCAAUUCUGU